rnacentral:rRNA from 1 species
GAUGAACGCUGGCGGCGUGCCUAAUACAUGCAAGUCGAGCGAACAGACGAGGAGCUUGCCCCUCUGACGUUAGCGGCGGACGGGUGGGUAACACGUGGAUAACCUACCUAUAAGACUGGGAUAACUUCGGGAAACCGGAGCUAAUACCGGAUAAUAUAUUGAACCGCAUGGUUCAAUAGUGAAAGACGGUUUUGCUGUCACUUAUAGAUGGAUCCGCGCCGCAUUAGCUAGUUGGUAAGGUAACGGCUUACCAAGGCGACGAUGCGUAGCCGACCUGAGAGGGUGAUCGGCCACACUGGAACUGAGACACGGUCCAGACUCCUACGGGAGGCAGCAGUAGGGAAUCUUCCGCAAUGGGCGAAAGCCUGACGGAGCAACGCCGCGUGAGUGAUGAAGGUCUUCGGAUCGUAAAACUCUGUUAUUAGGGAAGAACAAAUGUGUAAGUAACUAUGCGCGUCUUGACGGUACCUAAUCAGAAAGCCACGGCUAACUACGUG